rnacentral:lncRNA from 1 species
GUGAUCACCAUCCCGGCCCUGCUCUCCUCAUCCACUCUGCUGGUCAUCAGCUGUAUAAAUGGAAAACGUGCCGCCGGUGGUCCCAGGUCACCUGCCCCAGCCCACCAUCCCCAUGAGGGGCCCAGGUGGGAAGGAGACCAAAGGAGACCCCAAGAACACCCCCACACCUGGCUGACCAGGCCCCUUGCACUGCAGAGGAGGCAGACACAGCUGGAAGGAACAGGAUUUAUGUUGCAUACUUGAACUACAGCGAGUGUAAGACUGGUCCUAUUUACAGGGCAGAAACACUGCAGGUGGAGCGCGGGGGUGGCAGGGUGGGCACCAGAGUCCUGGCCAAGGGUACCCUUGCCUGCCAUCUUCCCCACCUCUCCCAGAUGCAUCUCUGAGGCCCCGCUGGGAUUCUCCGGGGGGAACGAGGCCCACUCACAUGAUGCUCGCUGGGGUGAAGACAGGGCCCACGCACAGGGUGUCUGUGAUCUCCCAGCCGCAGGACAGAGGCUUGCACACACCCUCCACGUCAUCCUCCUGUUCUGCAGCCAUCAGCUGCCUUCGCAGCGCUUCCCUAGGGGUGAGAGAGGGGUGCUGCAAGUAGCCAGCAUGGGACUGGCAGGGCCCUGUACCUGGAGACGCAGCCCCAUUGGGCAGAGGGCUCUCACGUGAGCCCGAGCUCAGCUGAGGGCAGGGGCAGGGACAGGCUGCUGACCCCUCCCCAACUGCUUCCUACUCCCGUGUGGUCCCCACCCCUCAACAAGGGAAAGAAAUCCACAUGUAUCGAGCAUUUACUACAUGCCAGACAUCAUGCCAGGCACUUAUAUUAUCUAUUUGUAUCUUCCCAAAAACCCCAUGAGGGAGGCAUUACCAUCCCCGUUGCAUUGAUGAUGUAAUCAAUCAGUUCCCCAGAGAGAGAAGUGACCUACCUAAGAUCACAUCCCUAGUAGGUAGUAGAACUAGGACUGAACCCAACUCUCACUCGAAAGCCCACAUUCAUCAUACCCCAGGCUUGGGACUUCAAAUAAAAUCAUAUCCCAUUCUCUCAAACAAUCCCACAAACUGCUUCUCCUCCUACAUACCCAUGUUGAUCAAUGGCUCCACUAUCAGAGUUGUAAACAGUUGGCAAUCUUGUUCCCACACCCAGUUGAGCCCUGCUGAGCCCAGCUUCUGAACAUCCUCAUGUGCCCCAUGGUCUCCAUCCCCAUGGGUAACACCAUUUCAGUCUCCCUGAUCUGCUCGUGCCCUCUCCAGACAGUUCUCAGCCAGGACCCAGAUUCAUCUUUCCAAAAAACAAAUCCCUGCCCUUGAGCUGCCAGCCAUUUCCCUCUGCUCUCAGGCCCUGCAAGAUCUGGCUCUACCCGCCUCUUCCACCCACUCCUGGACACACUGGCCCACACACCUGAGCCAUCCACUAUGGCCACCUUUUGGGCUCUUACACAUGUCCUCUCCCCAGCCUGGAUCCAUCCUUGUCUCUCUGCCUGUAUCAUCAACUCUCAUCUAAUUCCUCCUUAGCCUUCAGGUCUCAGCUUUGGUGACAGUCCUGAGACUGGACACAGCAGAGGAAUUGAAUGUGCCUGGGCAAACUGCUCCUGCUUUCUGUGGCCCUCUCCCUACCCCAAAAGAGGGACCCUUCACCACUGACUAGCUGCGUGACCUCAGAAGAAUGACCUCUCUGUGAUAACGCUGACCCCCACAGAGUGUUGUGUGGGUGAAAUAGUCAUACGACACCUAACGUAAGGCCUGAUGUCAGGGUUCACUGGAUGUGACUCCCCCAUCUUGCAUGCCUCUUGCCUCACUGGAUCCCAGCACUAGCCUGGUGGGGCAGGCAGGGCUACUGUUACGCUUAUUUUCUAGAUGGAAAGACCAAGGCUCAGCAAGCAGGCAGACCAAGUCUCUCCUGUGUCACACAGCAGCCACCUAACUGGUCAUCUCUUUCUGCAUCUGCCCUUGUCCUCAGUCUAUACAGGAACUAGGGUGGUCUUUCCAAAGUGCAAAUCAGACUGUGUUAUGCCCCUGCUUCAAACUGGUCCAUGCCUCCCACUGCUGUCAAAGCGUGUCACUCGGCCUUCAAGCCCUUCCCAGAUCUAGCCCUGCCUCCCUCUGCAGUCACAGCCACUCUCCAUGCGAGCCUUGAAUGCACCACACUUGCUCUCCGUUCCUUUCUUCUGGGAAGUCCUACCACCCACUCCUGUAGUUGACUCCCACUUCCUCAGGGAGGCCUGGGCCUCAGGGAGGGCUCUGCACUUCCACCAGGCACAGUAUUAUCACAAGGGCCUGUCUGCUUCUCUGUGCCUCCCUCAGGGCUGUGAGCUCCUCUAGGAAAGCCCAGCCUCACUUAUGGCCACAGCCAGGUGCCAAGCACAUCCCUCACGUGGGACCAGCAG